rnacentral:lncRNA from 1 species
AAUCACCGGCUGAUUGCCUAACUUUUUGCGUUUAUUUAGGAGGACGAUUUUCGUGAUCACCACCACUAUAUAUCAUUUCUAUGCUGAUGCCAUUCUUUGAAAUUUUGUCACUUCCAAGUAAAGAUGUAUAUUUAGAGGUGGAGCUUGCCUUGUUAUCUCAAUUGCGGCACUUUUGAUGGACUUGUUUCUCAUUUACAAGUUUACAUGCCCGCUGAACAACCAGCUCUGUACAUUCUAAUUUGACUUUUUAGUUCCAUAACCAGAGAAAAAAGGCAGGUCCUUGUAUGUAUUUAUUUAUGUUUUGGGAGGGGGAGACCACUCUUUGUCAAUUCUCUAACUCUUAUUUUAGUGCAAAUAUGAAAUUGAAUCAAAAGUUUUUUCCAUCAA